rnacentral:rRNA from 1 species
CCUCGGCAUACUGCUCAGUAACACGUGGACAACCUACCCUAAGGAGGGGGAUAACCCCGGGAAACUGGGGAUAAUACCCCAUAGACAAUGGAUGCUGGAAUGCUCUGUAGUUCAAAGGUCAGCCGCCUUAGGAUGGGUCUGCGGCCGAUUAGGUUGUUGUUGGGGUAACGGCCCAACAAGCCUGUAAUCGGUACGGGUUGUGGGAGCAAGAGCCCGGAGAUGGAUUCUGAGACACGAAUCCAGGCCCUACGGGGCGCAGCAGGCGCGAAAACGUUACAAUGCGAGAAAUCGUGAUAAGGGAACUCCGAGUGCCCGUAAAAUCGGGCUGUUAAUCUGUUUAAAUAACAGGUUGAGAAAGGGCCGGGCAAGACCGGUGCCAGCCGCCGCGGUAAUACCGGCGGCUCGAGUGGUGGCCACUAUUACUGGGCUUAAAGCGUUCGUAGCUGGUUUGUUAAGUCUCUGGGGAAAUCUUCCGGCUUAACCGGAAGGCGUCUCAGGGAUACUGGCAGACUAGGGACCGGGAGAGGUGAGGGGUACUCCAGGGGUAGGAGUGAAAUCCUGUAAUCCUUGGGGGACCACCUGUGGCGAAGGCGCCUCACCAGAACGGCUCCGACAGUGAGGAACGAAAGCUGGGGGAGCAAACCGGAUUAGAUACCCGGGUAGUCCCAGCUGUAAACGAUGCGCGUUAGGUGUAUCGAUGACCACGAGUCAUCGAGGUGCCGAAGAGAAAUCGUGAAACGUGCCGCCUGGGAAGUACGGUCGCAAGGCUGAAACUUAAAGGAAUUGGCGGGGGAGCACCACAACGGGUGGAGCCUGCGGUUUAAUCGGACUCAACGCCGGGAAACUCACCGGACAAGACAGCUGGAUGAUAGUCGGGCUGAAGACUCUACUUGACUAGCUGAGAGGAGGUGCAUGGCCGUCGUCAGUUCGUACUGUGAAGCAUCCUGUUAAGUCAGGCACGAGCGAGACCCACGCCAACAGUUGCCAGCUCGUCCUCGGGGAUGGUGGGACACU